GAUCGCAUGGUCCGGUGAGGAAAUGGUCUGCCGCUCCGGGAUGGGCUCGCGGCCUAUCAGCUUGUUGGUGAGGUAACGGCUCACCAAGGCAACGACGGGUAGCUGGUCUGAGAGGACGAUCAGCCACACUGGGACUGAGACACGGCCCAGACUCCUACGGGAGGCAGCAGUGGGGAAUCUUGCGCAAUGGGGGAAACCCUGACGCAGCGACGCCGCGUGCGGGAUGAAGGCCCUAGGGUUGUAAACCGCUUUCAGCAGGGACGAAAUUGACGGUACCUGCAGAAGAAGGCCCGGCCAACUACGUG
rnacentral:rRNA from 1 species